rnacentral:rRNA from 1 species
UACGGGGGGGGCAAGCGUUGUUCGGAAUUACUGGGCGUAAAGGGCUCGUAGGUGGCCAACUAAGUCAGACGUGAAAUCCCUCAGCUUAACUGGGGAACUGCGUCUGAUACUGGAUGGCUUGAGUUUGGGAGAGGGACGCGGAAUUCCAGGUGUAGCGGUGAAAUGCGUAGAUAUCUGGAGGAACACCGGUGGCGAAGGCGGCGUCCUGGACCAACACUGACACUGAUGAGCGAGAGCCAGGGGAGCAAACGGG